rnacentral:sRNA from 1 species
AUGUACCACUUGUACACUCCAGUUCCUCCGCGCCCUUCGCGCCCACCUGACAGUGUUGUUAGCC